CAGGGAGACAACAAAAUGUUAAAUAUUAAUUUUGUCACCUUAGGUCGAUCGGUACCUCUCAUUCUUAAUUUCAUUAAGAAUUUCAUUUUCUAAGUUUUUUCUAGGUCACACCCAUUGCUUUCCCUGGGCCAUUAGCUCAGGUGGUUAGAGCGCACCCCUGAUAAGGGUGAGGUCCCUGGUUCAAGUCCAGGAUGGCCCAUAUCUCUGUGUUGGGGGUAUAGCUCAGUUGGUAGAGCGCCUGCUUUGCAAGCAGGAUGUCAGCGGUUCGAGUCCGCUUACCUCCACUGAUCACCACCUCUUCCAUAAGUAAUAGAAGGGGAACGUUUUGAGUUGUGAUCAAAUUCUGAACGAAUCUAGCUUCCUAAUUAUCUUUAUUAAGAUGCUGGACUCAUUGAAUCAAAUUCAUUGUUUUCAGAGAACCUUGACAACUGCAUAGAUUAUUUUUAAAUACAAUAAGCAUCUUUUAAUGAUGCAGAUUUAUUAUUUGUGCGAAUGCAUUAAUAACAAUUCUAUUAAGCUGAUGCUUCAAUUUUUGAAGUUAUU
rnacentral:tRNA from 1 species